GCCUGAGUUCGGUUCUCCAUUUAUGUACAGUUUAAUCUGUCGGUUAUUUUUUAUCUUUUUUAUUUAUCUUUGGACUUAUGCUGAUCCUUUAUUAAAAUUGCAGGCAUGCCACCGAGAGUGAAGCUGACAGAUGCCGACAUCCGGCAACAUGCGGCGAGGAAGAGACCGGCGCCCCGGGCCGGACCUUUGCGGCCUCCCAAGAGGCCUCAGAUAUCA
rnacentral:lncRNA from 1 species